rnacentral:rRNA from 1 species
CCUACGGGAGGCAGCAGUGAGGAAUAUUGGUCAAUGGUCGGGAGACUGAACCAGCCAAGCCGCGUGAGGGAUGAAGGUACAGAGUAUCGUAAACCUCUUUUGUCAGGGAACAAAGGCGGGGACGUGUCCCCGGAUGAGUGUACCUGAAGAAAAAGCAUCGGCUAACUCCGUGCCAGCAGCCGCGGUAAUACGGAGGAUGCGAGCGUUAUCCGGAUUUAUUGGGUUUAAAGGGUGGGCAGGCGGUCUGUUAAGUCAGCGGUAAAAGCCCGGGGCUCAACCCCGGCCCGCCGUUGAAACUGGCAGUCUCGAGUUGGAGAGAAGUAUGCGGAAUGCGCGGUGUAGCGGUGAAAUGCAUAGAUAUCGCGCAGAACUCCGAUUGCGAAGGCAGCAUGCCGGCUCCACACUGACGCUGAUGCACGAAAGCGUGGGUAUCGAACAGGAUUAGAUACCCCUGUAGUC